UACGUAGGGGGCGAGCGUUAUCCAGAUUUACUGGGCGUAAAGCGCGUGUAGGCGGCUGGUUAGGUGUGAUGUGAAAUCCUCGGGCUCAACCCGAGAACUGCAUUGCAAACCGGCCUGGCUAGAGUGCAGGAGAGGGAAGCGGAAUUCCAGGUGUAGCGGUGAAAUGCGUAGAUAUCUGGAGAAACACCAGUGGCGAAGGCGGCUUCCUGGCCUGUAACUGACGCUGAGACGCGAAAGCGUGGGGAGCGAACCGG
rnacentral:rRNA from 1 species